AUUGAACGCUGGCGGCAUGCCUUACACAUGCAAGUCGAACGGCAGCACGGGAGCAAUCCUGGUGGCGAGUGGCGAACGGGUGAGUAAUAUAUCGGAACGUGCCCAGUCGUGGGGGAUAACGCAGCGAAAGCUGUGCUAAUACCGCAUACGAUCUACGGAUGAAAGCGGGGGAUCGCAAGACCUCGCGCGAUUGGAGCGGCCGAUAUCAGAUUAGCUAGUUGGUGAGGUAAAGGCUCACCAAGGCGAAGAUCUGUAGCUGGUCUGAGAGGACGACCAGCCACACUGGAACUGGGACACGGUCCAGACUCCUACGGGAGGCAGCAGUGGGGAAUUUUGGACAAUGGGCGCAAGCCUGAUCCAGCAAUGCCGCGUGCAGGAUGAAGGCCUUCGGGUUGUAAACUGCUUUUGUACGGAACGAAACGGCGAGCUCUAAUACAGUUUGCUAAUGACGGUACCGUAAGAAUAAGCACCGGCUAACUACGUGCCAGCCGCCGCAGUAACAC
rnacentral:rRNA from 1 species